AGAAUAAGAAUCUACACAUAGAAUAUAUAUAUUAUAUAUAUAUAUAUAUAUAUAUAUAUAUAUAUAAUAUAUAUUAUAUAUAUAUUAUAUAAGUUAUAUAUCAUAUAAUAUAAAGAGACAAGAGAAGAAUCUGAGUAAAAACAGAAAUAAAAUAUUCAUGGAAUCUCAAUAUCUGGAGAAAAAAGUAAGCAAUUAUCUACAAUAUUCAAGAUAGUCAAAGUAUUAUGAAAGACAAAGCUUCCCAAGAUGCAUAGUCUUCAAGAUAGAUUAUACGUUUUCAAGAUUUAUUCUUAUAAAAGCAGACAUUUGCAUAACCAUCCAUAUCACAUUACUCUUCAGCUAAAAUGGAUAAAUCAAAGCAGUAUAAGGCUCAAAGGAGGGGUUUUGAGAAGGAAAUUAGGAAGUUGAUGAAGAAAAAAGUGAAGGAAGAGAAGCAUAAGUCUGAGGAAGCUUCAACGAUUCAGAAGUCUGAGGAAGUGUCAGAAGGAGUAGGUACAACUGCUGAGUCCCAAAGUGGGUAGAAUAGAGACAACAAUGAUAAAGCCUAAGAGGAAGGAGGAUCCAAUGGAAGAAGAGUGGGAUGAAUAAUAAAAUUAUCUAAUGCCUUUAGGAUAAAAAAUGUAGUGCCUUCUUAAUGAAUAAAAUAAUUUCCUUCUCUUAGUGUCUGUUGUCAUUUACUUCCUUUAAUAACACUAAAACUAUGACUACAUUCAAUAAUUCAAUAAUGAGUUUGUAACAUGAACAAAGUUAUAGUCACAAAACAUGAAUAGGGAAACAUUAACAAAGUUAUAGUCACAAAACAUGAAAAGGGAAACAUGAAAAAUACACAUCACAAUUUCAUUAUGUUAAAAAAUAUACCAAGAAACGAAAAGUAACCCUAGCGAAGAACAUAAACAUUCAGAAAGUAGUACCAUUACCAAAGAGAGAGAGAGAGAGCAACAAACCCAGAAUGGUAAUGUACUAUAAGUCGAAAAGGAAAAAGAUUUUGUUUCCAGAAAUGAUAUUCGUUUUCAAAAAUGAUUUUGUUAUUGUUGUCAUCUCGUUCGCUAGGGCACACUUGAGUGUUAUGAAUAAAAUAAAGUACCUGUUAUGUUUUAAUUUUGUGAGAAAUAAUUUCACAACAGUAGCAAACUUCAACCGUAGUGAAAUAUGGAACAUAUAACCAUAGUUGAAUCAAACAACCGUAGUUGUUAUACUUUCAAUUUUUGAAUAACAAAAAAAAUAUGUAUGGAGGGACGCACGCUUAUUUUUAUUAAUAAAAUGGAAAAAUGUUGAAGCUGAGAUUCAAAGCCUGUCAUCCAGAUUUUACGACCACUGUUAUUUUCAGAAACCGUGACGAAAAGUUUCUUAAUAAAAAAAACGUGCACAUACAAAAAAUGUGAUAUGACUAUGGUGGAAAAAUGGUUGUUGUAAUAUUGUGUCACCGAAGAUAUAUUUUCUUGUAAUGAUCGUAAACAACUAUUCAUAUAAAACAAUUUUUGAAGGUACCAUAAUUGUUUAUUUUUAAGCAUUAGUUUAACUAAAACAAAAUUAAAAUUAAAAAAAAAAAUUAUUAAGACACUUUUUUAUUGAAUAUACCUUAAUUAUAGUUCAUUGGUGAGAAUGAUGAAAAUCCAUGCUUGUCUCAAAGGAUCCUUUAUGCAAAAUUACACAAUAACUGUUUUUGGAAGAUCAUCUAGCGACCAAGAGGCUUGUUGGGAGAAUGAUAAUAGAAAUGAACAUUAGUGAUGAGUUGGACAAUUUAUUUGCAUAUACAAAUCCAAUAUAUCCAUUACCAAUCUUACUAUUACCUUUUGUAGAGAUCCUCAAAAUGUCUAAAAUGCGGAAUAAAUCGCUAUGAGAAAACCGAAUAUCUAAUUUUUUCUAGACAUCAGAGGUGCCAUCAAUCCAUAGCAUAGAUUUGGCAAUGGAUUCUGAGAUCGAACGAUGAAGCCAAUAAAGGACCAUGGUAUUACAUCAAAUCCAUGGAACUUUGGUUAGGAUUCCAUCAAUGAACUUCUCUUUAGUUUUUGGAAAUCAAAGCAAUGUGCGUCGAUCUUAACCAAGUGUGAUAGUUCUUAUCAUCAAACAAUGGAAGAUAAGAACAAAUAUUGGAUUUUCCUUUGGGUGUAAGUAGUAAGGAUUGGUGAAAUUCAUGAAAAAAUCGGUGUAACUCUGGUAGGACAUUGAUGUAUGAAUCAAGAAACUUGAAAAGAAAAAACAAGAAAUAAAAGUUGAGUUCUACGAAGAAAAAGGUGACUGAGAAACAAUAACUACUAGAGCUUUGGAAACUCUGAUACCAUAUUAAUAUUAAUAGUGCACUAAUCAUGCACAAGUUUCAUAAAGAUGAUGAAGAAAACGAAGCAAAUUUGGAAAACGGAAAAGAUAAUUUGCAAAGAGAAAAAAUUGUUAUUUGUUCAUUGGUUACAGGUGAAUACAAUAUCCAAUAUAUACAUCAGUCAAUAACUAUUAAACAAACUAAUGUAAUUAAUUGUACACAUGUAUGGAUAAGAUCUGCUCAAUAUUAAUAGUAUGCUAAUAAUUAAUCUGUAUUUUUCACUGAUUUAGAAUUUUUUUUCCUGAUAUUGCUAAAUACAAGUUAGUUUUUAUUCAGUAUUUAUAUUAAUUGGUAUCGAUUUCUAUUAGAAUUAUGACACAUGACAUUGUUGGCAAGUCUUUCUUAAAAACAAGUAUCAUUUCCUAACAACUCCAUAAGAGGUUAAGGGCCAUGUAAUGAAACAACUAUACCAAAAACAUAAGCUAUUUGAUGAAAAGAUAGAAAAAAUGUGACACAUGAAUGAUGACCCUGGUAUAGGUUGAGAUUGGACUGUAGGAUAAACAAUUGAACCCCUCAUUGAUAGUACCAUAUUACUUGGUCGAGGAUGAUGAAAUUUAAAAGUGUUCCCAAACUUAUUGACUAGUUCUUAAAUAAUAAGCACACUUAGAAUCAUUAUGUAUAAAUAAGCAACAAAGGUAAUUUAGAGUUAGACUAUUAAUUAAUAUUAAAGAUUAAGAGGUAAUUUAGAGUUAGACUAUUAAUUAAUAUUAAAGGUUAAGAGGUAAUUUAGAGUUAGACUAUUAAUUAAUAUUAAAGAUUAAGGGUCCCAUAAAAAAAUCUGGUGUCAUGUGAUAAGUAUUAGCAUGCAAGGCCAAAAACAAAUCAAAACAGAGAAGAAUUGUCUGAACUCCUCCAUUGAAAAUGAUAUUGUUUCUACUAUUCCAAAUACACCUGCACAGUGCCAGCCAUAUAGCCCUAACUCUUCGUUUUUUGACUCAAGAUUGUUGAAAUUAAAUCAAGGAGUGUGUAGAAGUGUUGAGAAAAUAGGGCAAUUAAUAUAAAUAUUAAUUAUUGAAGAAUGUAGAAGACAAUGUGUCUAAAGUUAAAUUAAGUUUGUGACUUAUAAAAGAAACAAGUGGAUAAUAUCACCGCCUAAUUAUGCACCGCCUAAUUAUGCUGCCUUGCUAAGUUUCUUAUCCAUUAAGUUUCUUAGCCACUAAGAAUAUGUACUUCAAGGCCUAUAUAAAAGCAUGAAAGCAAUGCUUUAUGUAUUAUCAAUUUCAGAAACAAAAUAGAAUGAAAAGUUACACUUCCUCUUGUUCUCUCUUUUGUAAUGGGUGUUUGAGUUUUAUAUAUUUCAAUCUGUGAUAUCAAAUUGGUAUCAGAGCAGGUUAGGUCCAGCUAGUGUGAGUGUAAAAAAAAAUUGAGUGUGUGAGGAACAAAAGAGAAAAAAAAAUUAUUGUGAGUAUUUUUUGAGAGAUAUGGCAAACAAUUACAAUUUUGUCUGGCCUGGUCCGAAAUUAACCGCAGAGUUAGAUUUUAGUUACUGGGAAAUUUUGAUGACAACACAUCUAAAAGCUCACAAUGUUUGGAGCUUUGUGGAUCCCGGUUUACAACAAGGAGCUAAUGAAGUCGCUCGUAGAAAGGACCAGUUAGCACUUUCACAAAUUCAUCCAGGAAUUGAUUACUCAAUAUUCGGAAAAAUAGCAAAUGCCAAAGAAGCGUGGGACAUAUUGAAAUUAUCACACAAAGGAGUAGAGAAAGCUCAGAAGUCCAAACUACAAUAGUUGCGUAGAGAAUAUGAAAGGUACGAAAUGUCUAAUUCAGAAAUGGUAGAACAGUAUUUUUCUCGUGUUAUCAAUCUCGUCAACAAGAUGAGAGUGUAUGGAGAAGAUAUUCCAGAUAGUAAAGUGGUAGAAAAAAUUAUGCGUACGAUGCCGAUGAAGUUUGACCAUGUGGUGACUACGAUAAUUGAGUCCCACGAUAUAGAUAUUUUGUCUGUAGCAGAGUUACAGGGAAGUAUUGAAAGUCAUGUCAACAGAAUAUUAGAAAAGACCGAGAAAGUGGUAAAAGAAGAAGCUCUCAAAAGUCAAGUAAAUUUCAACAACACUUCUGAGUCAAGUCGUACUGUAGAAGAAAGAGGUCAAAAUUAUUUCAACAAUAGAGGAAGAGGAAAUUAUAGAGGCAGAGGCAGAGGAAAUUAUGGAGGAAGAGGACGUGGCAAUUUUAACCAAUGGAGAGACAACAACUUCAACAGUUUCAAUCCAGGACAUCAAGGAAGAGGUGGUCAUAGUUUUGGAUCUUCAUACCGUGGUAGAGGAAGAGGAAACUAUAAUCAAGAAAGGAAAAAUUACAGUUGUUAUCAUUGUGGAAAGUUUGUACACAAAGUAGUUGAUUGCAGAUACAAACUCAGGCAAAUGUGGCAGAAAGUUCGUAUCAAAAUACAGAUGAGUACUUUGAAAAUCCACAAAAUUUAUUUUUGGCCAGUAAUACAUUUUCCGAAGAAGAGGAUAUAUGGUAUCUGGAUACUGGGUGUAGUAAUCAUAUGUGUGGAAAAAAGGAAUUGUUUUCUUCUCUAAACGAAAAGGUAAAAUCUACCGUGAAGUUUGGAAACAAUUCAAAUAUUCCGAUUUUGGGAAAAGGUCGAAUUGCUAUCAGGUUGAAAGAUGGAUCACAAAACUUUAUUGGUGAUGUUUUUUAUGCUCCUGGUCUUCAUCACAAUCUAUUGAGUAUGGGAAACCUGUCAGAGAAAGGUUACAACAUGCAGAUUCACAAUGGUUUCUGCACGUUGAUCAACAAAAGUGGCAGAUUUAUUACAAAGGUAAGAAUGACACCGAACCGCCUAUUUCCUUUGAAAAUUCAACAUGAAAAAUUUCCUUGCUUGAGUUCUAUAAUUCCAAAUAAUGAUUGGUUGUGGCACAUGAGAUUUGGUCACUUUCAUUUUUCUGGUUUGAAUUACCUGUCAAGAAAAGAAUAUGUUUCUGGAUUACCUGUUGUGAAUAUUCCAAAUGGAGUAUGUGAGACUUGUCAGAUUGGAAAUAAGCAUAGAAAUUCAUUUCCAACUGGAGUGUCUUAGAGAGCGAAGAAGUUGCUAGAGAUAAUUCACUCAGACUUGUGCUCAGUGGAGAUACCAACACCAGGUGGUUGUAAGUACUUUAUUACUUUUAUAGAUGAUUUCAGUAGAAAGACUUGGGUGUAUUUCUUGAAACAAAAAUCAGAAGCAUGUGAUACCUUUAAGACAUUCAAGACAUUUGUAGAAAAACAAAGUGGUUGUAGAAUCAAAGCAUUGAGAACAGACAUAGGCCAAGAAUACCUCGUUGGUACAAGUUUCUUUGAGCAACAUGGGAUUGAGCAUCAGUUAACAACUAGAUACACACCUCAACAGAAUGGAGUCGCUGAAAGAAAGAAUAGAACAAUCAUGGAUAUGGUGAGAUGCAUGUUGAAGGCCAAACAUAUGCCUAAGGAGUUUUGGGCAGAAGCUGUUGCUACCGCAGUUUAUAUUUUAAACAGGUGUCCUACAAAGAGUGUCCAAGAAAAGACUCCUGAAGGAGCUUGGAGUGGAAGAAGACCUUCAAUCCGACACCUUAGGGUUUUUGGAUGUAUUGCAUAUGCUCAUGUACCAUAUCAACUGAGAAAGAAGUUAGAUGACAAAGGAGAAAGAUGUAUCUGUGUUGGUUAUAGUUCAAACUCAAAAGCCUAUAAGCUUUACAAUCCAGAGACAAAAAAGGUGAUUAUCAGUCGAGAUGUGAUUUUUGAUGAAGGAGGAAUGUGGGAUUGGUCCUCAAAGUCACAAAAGGAUCCAAUAGUGACUUCAAAUGACUACGAAGAGGAGAUUGAACAUAAUCCAACGCAUGAAGAGGAGAUUGAGCAUAAUCCAACAACUGAUGAGCCAGAAUCAUCCAGCAGACAACAAAGGACACGUAGAUUACCAGCCAGGCUGCAAGAUUGUGUUUUAGGUAAUGAUAAUGACCCAUCUGAUGAGGAGAUUAUCAACUUUGCUUUAUUUGCAUAUUGUGAGCCAUUUACUUUUGAAAAAGCAGCACAUGAUGAAAAUUGGAUAAAAACCACGAAUGAAGAAAUCAAUGCAAUUGAGAAGAAUCAAACAUGGGAGCUGACCGAGUUACCAGCAGACAAGAAAGCUAUAGAAGUGAAGUGGGUGUACAAGAAAAAGUACAAACCUAGUGGUGGGAUUGGUCGCUAUAAAGCAAGGUUGGUGGCAAAAGGAUACAAACAAAAACCAGGUAUUGAUUACUUUGAGGUAUUUGCUCCUGUUGCAAGAUUAGAUACAAUUAGAAUGCUUAUUUCAAUAUCAGCUCAGAAUAAUUGGAAAAUACAUCAAAUGGAUGUUAAGUCUGCAUUUCUUAAUGGUAAUCUGGAAGAAGAAGUGUAUGUUGAGCAGCCUGCAGGAUAUGUAAUCAAAGGAAAGGAAGAUAAAGUUUAUAGAUUGAAGAAAGCGUUAUAUGGUUUGAAGCAGGCGCCAAGAGCUUGGUAUAAUAAGAUUGAUUCUUAUUUUGUGCAGAAUGAUUUUCAGAGAUGUCCUCAUGAGCACACAUUAUAUAUCAAAUACAUUGAUCCUGGAGAUGUUCUUAUUGAAGGAGAAGGGCGAUCCAAAAUGCAGCGGAAUUUAAAAUUUCUCCUUUAGUGAUCCUUACGAAUGGGCAUGAUCAGUGAUAGAAUUGUUACCUGUUGUGGAAAUUGUAACCUUUGAUGGAGAUCUACGGAGCGAUCACGAACGUUGAACGAUGACAACUCCUCUACUCAGUCCACACGAACAAAUUCCUUCAAUCUCAGUGCUAGCUGCUACGAAUGAAGGCUUUGAGUGAGAGAGAGAGAGAGAGAGAGAGAGAGAGAGAGAGAGAGAGAGANNNNNNNNNNNNNNNNNNNNNNNNNNNNNNNNNNNNNNNNNNNNNNNNNNNNNNNNNNNNNNNNNNNNNNNNNNNNNNNNNNNNNNNNNNNNNNNNNNNNNNNNNNNNNNNNNNNNNNNNNNNNNNNNNNNNNNNNNNNNNNNNNNNNNNNNNNNNNNNNNNNNNNNNNNNNNNNNNNNNNNNNNNNNNNNNNNNNNNNNNNNNNNNNNNNNNNNNNNNNNNNNNNNNNNNNNNNNNNNNNNNNNNNNNNNNNNNNNNNNNNNNNNNNNNNNNNNNNNNNNNNNNNNNNNNNNNNNNNNNNNNNNNNNNNNNNNNNNNNNNNNNNNNNNNNNNNNNNNNNNNNNNNNNNNNNNNNNNNNNNNNNNNNNNNAUGUCCUUCUGAGCACACAUUUAUAUCAAAUACAUUGUCCUGGAGAUUGUUCUUAUUGAAGGAGAAGGGCGAUCCAAAAUGCAGCGGAAUUUAAAAUUUCUCCUUAGUGAUCCUUACGAAUGGGCAUGAUCAGUGAUAUAAUGUUACCUGUUGUGGAAAUUGUAAGCCUUUGAUGAGAUCUAACGGAGGCGAUCUAACGAACGUGACGUGACAACUCUGCUACUCAGUCCACACGAACAAAUUCGCUUCAUUCUCAGUGCUAGCUGCUACGAAUGAAGGCUUUGAGUGAGAGAGAGAGAGAGAGAGAGAGAGAGAGAGAGAGAGAGAGAGAAACGAAAUUGCAACUGCACAAAUGCUUCUACACAAGGGUUCUAUUUAUAGAACCGCUUGUGUGGGCUGCAAGCUAAAAAGCCCACUCAAGUGUAUGUGGUCCAUAUCUUAUAAUAUGCCAAAAUCACCUAAGUGCGUGGUACCUUACCAUAUUUUGUAUUCUACUUAAGUACACCGUACCUUACGAUGUUCUACAAUUCACUUAAGGGCACCGUACAUUACGGUAUUCCUUCGUUACUUUAUCUCCCAUCAAUCCGUCCUUUUGUGUGUGACCCUGUAGGUUUUCGCGGCAUUGACAAUUAUAUUAAAUCGCGUAUUUAACAUGAUAAACAGUGAGAGGUAUCUAGCAACACAUCACUGCUACCCAAGACACGAAAAUGUCAUGUGAUCUGAAAAAUCGUUUUGUGAUAAUACUUAUAUGUAUAAUUACCCUUUUGCCCUUAUGUCUAUAUUAAACACAAGGCAUAGACCGUGUCAUCCUUGUCCAGUUCAAUAUAGGUCACUCAUGUCCCUUAGCACGCUUCGUGGAGUACCCAUCAACUGUCUUUAUGAUCAUCCAGUUACGGACAAUGUUUGAUCAGAAUUAAGGCACUCGACUCUACAUCUAGGGUCCAUAGUGGUUUCAGGUCGAAGGGUGGUAUACACCAUUAUCACCAUGAGAAUAACUUAUGACACUUUGCAUAACAUUCUAUAUAGUAUUCUCAUAGCGGGAAAAUGUGAUAAUGACAUGGUGGAAAAAUGGUGUUGUAAAUAUUGUGUCACCGACGAAUAUUUUCUUUCUUGUAAUGACGUAAAACUAUUCAUAUAAACAAUUUUGCAAGGUAGCGCGAUAAUUUUUAUUUUAAGCAUUUAGUUUAACUAAACAAAAUUAAUUAAAAAACAAAAUUUAUAAUUAAACACUUUUUUAUUGAAUAUACCUUAAUUAUAGUUAUUGGUAGAAUGAUGAAAACCAUGCUUGUUCCAAAGGACUCUUUAUGCAAAUAACAAUAACUGUUUUUGGAAGAUAUCUAGCGACAAGAGGCUUGUUGGGAGAAUGAUAAUAGAAUGAACAUUAGUGAUGAGUUUGACAUUAUUUGCAUAUACAAAUCCAUAUAUCCAUUCCAAUCUACUAUACUUUUGUAAGAUCCUCAGAAGUCUAAAUCGCGGAAUAACUCGCUAUGAGAAAACGAAUAUCUCAAAAUUUUUUUUUUUUCUAGAACAUCAGAGUGCCAUCAUCCAUAGCAUAGAUUGGCAUAUGAUUCUGAGAUCGAACGAUGAAGCCAAUAAGGACGCAUGGUAUUACAUCAAAUCCAUGGAACUUUGUUAGAUUCCACAAUGAACUCUCAUUAGUUUUUGGAAAUCAAGCAUGUGCGUCGAUCUUGAACCAAGUGUGAUAGUUCUUACAUCAAACAAUGGAGAUAAGAACAAUAUUGGUUUUCUUUGUGUAAGUUAAGGAUGGUGAAAUUCAUGAAAAAAUCGGUGUAACUCUGUGGUAGGUACAUUGAUUAUGAUCAAGAAAUGAAAGAAAAAACAGAGAAUAAAAGUUGAGAUUCUACGAAGACAAGGUGACUGAGAAACAAUAACUCCUAGAGCUUGGAAACUCUGAUACCAUAUUAAUCUUAAUAGGCAUAAUCAGCACAAGUUCUUCAUAAAGAUGAUGAAGAAAACGAAGCAAUUCUGAAAACGGAAAGAUAAUUUGCAAAGAGAAAAAAUUGUUAUUCUUUCAUUGUUACAGUGAAUACAAUAUCCAAUAUAUAAUCAGUCAAUAACUAUUAACAAACUAAUGUAAUUAAUUGUACACAAUGUUUGGAUACAGAUCUGCUCAAUAUUAAAGUAGCUAAUGAUAAUCUGUAUUUUUCACUGAUUUAGAAUUUUUUCCUGAUAUGCUAAAUACAAGUGUUUAUUCAGUAUUUAUAUUAAUAUGGUAUUUUUCCCAUUCGAAUUAUGACACAUACAUUGUUGGCAAUCUUUCUUAAAAACAAGUAUCAUAUCUAACGAACAUCCAUAAAGAGGUUUAAAGGGCCAUGUAAUGAAACAACUAUAGGCCAAAAACAUAACUAUUUGAUAAAGAUAGAAAAAAUGUGACACAUGAAUCAUGACCCUGGUAUAGGUUGAGAAUUGACUGUAGGAAAUAAACAAUUGAACCCUCAUUGAAUAGUACCGAUAUUACUGGUCCGAGGAUGAUCGAAAUUUAAACAGUGUUCCCAAACUUAUUGACUAGUUCUUAAAUAAUAAGCACACUUAGAAUCAUUAUGUUAAAUAAGCAACCAAGGUAAUGUUAGAGUUAGACUAUUAAUUGAAUUAAGAUUAAGAGGUAAUUUAAGUUAGACUAUAAUUAUUAAAGGUUAGAAGUAUUAGAGUUAGACGUCUUAUUAAUAUUAAAGAUUAAGGGUCCCAAUAAAAAAAUCUGGUGUCAUGUGAUAAGUAAUUAGCAUGCAAGGCCAAAAACAAAUCAAAACAAGAAGAAUUCGUCUGAACUUCCUGCCAUUGAAAUGAAUGUUUUUCUACUAUUCGCAAUACAUCCUGACAGUCCAGCCAUAAUAGCCCUAACUCUUCCGUUUUUGACUCAAGAUUGUUGAAAAUAAAUGCAGAGGUAGAAGUGUUGAGAAAUAGGGCAAUUAAUUAUAAAUAUUUAAUUAUUGAAGAAGUGAAGACAAUGUGUCUACAGUUAAUUAAGUUUGUGACUUAUAAAAGCAACAAGUGGAUAAUAUCACCGCCUAAUAUGCACCGUAAUUAUCUGGGCUGCAAGUUUCUUAUCAUAAGUUCUUAGGCCACUAAAGAAAUGUACUUCAAGGGCCUAUAUAAAAGCAUGAAAGCAAUGCUUAUGAUUACCAAUUUCAGAACAAAAUGAAUGAAAUUACACUUCCUCUUGUUCCUCUUUUGUAUGGGUGUUUGAGUUUUAUACUUCAAUCUGUGAUAUUCAAAUUGGUAUCAGAGCAGUUAGGUCCAGCUAGUGUGAGUGUAAAAAAAAUGAGUGUGUGAGGAACAAAAGAGAAAAAAAAUUAAUUGUGAGUAUUUUUUGAGAGAUAUGGCAAACAAUUACAAUUUUGUCUGGCCUGGUCCGAAAUUAACCGCAGAGUUAGAUUUUAGUUACUGGGAAAUUUGAUGAGCAAACACAUCUAAAAGCUCACAAUGUUUGAGCUUUGUGGAUCCCGUUUUGCAACAAGGAGCUAAGAAGUGCUCGUAGAAAGGACGGCAUUUGCACUUUCAAAUUCUCCAGGAAUUGAUACUCAAUAUUCGGAAAUAGCAAAUGCGUCAAAGAAGCGUCGGACAUAUUGAAUUAUCACACAAAGGGUAGAGGAAAAGCUCAGAAGUCGCAAACUACAAUAUUGCGUAAGAUAUGAAAGGUAUCGAAUGAUCUAAUUCCAGAAAUGGUAGAACAGUAUUUUUUUCGUGUUUAUACAUCUACCGUCAACAAGAUGAGAGUGUAUGAGAAAGAUAUUCGCAGAUAGUAAAACGUGGUAGAAAAAAUUAUGCGUACGAUGCCGUGAAGUUUGAGCGCUGUGGUGACUUACGAUAAUUGAGUCACGAUAUAGAUAUUUGUCUGUAGCAGAGUACAGGGAAGUAUUGAAAGUCAUGUCACGGAAAUUAGAAAAGACGCGAGAAAGUUGGUAAAAAGAGAAGCUCUCAAAAUCAAGUAACAUUUUCAACAAACACUUCUGGUCAAGUCCGUACUGUAAGAAGAAAGAGGUCAAAAUUAUUUCAACAAUAGAGAAGAGGAAAUCUAGAGGCAGAGCAGAGGAAAUAUGGAGGAAGAGGAGUGGCAUUUUGUUAACCAAUGGGAGAGACAACAACUGUCAACAGUUUUCACUCCAGGACAUCAAGGAAGAGUGGUCAUAGUUUUGGAUCUCAUACCUGGUAGAGGAAGAGGACAAACUAUAAUCAAGAAAGGAAAAAUUACAGUUGUUAUCAUUGUGGAAAGUUUGUACCAAAGUACGUUGAUUGGCAGAUACAAACUCAGUGCAAAUGUGGGCAGAAAGUUCGUAUCAAAUACAGAUGAGUAUUUUGCAAAUCCACAAAAUUUAUUUUGGCCAGUAAUACAUUUUCGCUGAAGAAGAGGGAUAUUGGUAUCUGGAUACUGGUGUAGUAAUCAUCCUGUGUGGAAAGGAAUUGUUUUCUUCUCUAAACGAAAAAGUAAAAAUCCUACGCGGUGAAUUUUGGAAACAAUCAACAUCUUUCCGAUCUUUGGGAAAAGGUCGAAUUGCUAUCCAGGUUGAAAGGAUGGAUCACAAAACUUUAUUGUGAUGUUUUUUUAAUGCUCCGGUCUUUCAUCACAAUCUAUUGAGUAUGGGAAACACUGUCAGAGAAAGGUUAACAUGGCAGAUCAACAUGGUUUCCUGCACGUUGAUCAACAAAAUGCAGAUUUAUUACAAAGGUAAGAAUGACACGAACCGCCCUAUUUCCUUUGAAAUUCAACAUGAAAAAUUUUCUUGCUUGAGUUCUAUAAUUCGGCAAUAAGGAUGGUUGUUGGCACAUGAGAUGGUCACUUUCAUUCUGGUUUGAAUUACCUGUCAAGAAAAGAAUAUGUUCUGGAUUAGCGCUGUUGUGAAUAUUACAUGGAGUAGUGAGACUGUCGAUUGGAAAUACAUAGAAAUUCUUUCCAACUGGAGUGUCUUAGAGAGCGAAGAAGUUGCUAGAGAUAAUCACUCAGACUUGUGGCUCAGUGGCAGAUCCCAACACGCAGGUGUUGUAGUACUUUAUUAGCUUUUAUAGAUGAUUUCAGUAGAAAAGACUUGGGUGUAUUUCUUGAACACAAAAUUCAGAAAGCAUGUGACCUUUAGACAUUCAACGACAUUGUAGAAAACAAAGUGGUUGUAGAAUCAAAGCAUUGAGAACAGACAUAGGCCAAGCAUACCUCGUCUGGUACAAGUUUUUGAGCAACAUGGGAUUGAGCAUAGCAGUUAACAAACUAGAUACACACUCCAACAGAAGGAGUCCGAUGAAAGAAAAGAAUAGAACAAUCAUGGAAUAUGGUGAGAUGCAUGUUGAAGCCAAAAAUGAAUGCCUAAGGAGUUUUGGGCAAGAAGCUGUUGCACCGGUAACCGCAGUUUAUAUUUUAAACAGGUGUCCUACAAAGAGUGUCCAAGAAAAGACUGCCUGAAUGGAGCUUGGAGUGAAGAAGACCAUUCAAUCCGACACUAGGUUUUUGGAUGUAUUGCAUAUGCUCAUGGUACCAUAUCAACUCGAGAAAGAAGUUAGAUUGACAAAGGAGAAAGAUGUAUCUGUGUUGGUUAUAGUUCAAAACUUCAAAAACGCCAUAAGCUUUACAAUCGCAGAGAAAAAAGGUGAUAUCCAGUCGAGAUGUGAUUUUUUGAUGAAGGAGGAAUGUGGGAUUGGUCCUCAAAUCACAAAAGGAUCAAUAGUGACUUCAAAUGACUACGAAGGAGAUUGAACAUAAUCCAACGGCAUGAAGAGGAGAUUGAGCAUAAUCCAACAACCUGAUGAGCCAGAAUCAUCCCGCAGACAACAAAGGACACAGUAGACUUCCCAGCCAGGCUGCAAGAUUGUUUUAGGUAAUGAUAAUACCAUCUGAUGAGGAGUUAUCAACUUUGCUUUAUUUGCAUUUGUGAGGCCAUUUUACUUUGAAAAGCAGCACAUGAUGAAAAUUGGAUACAAACUACGAAUGAAGAAAUCAAUGCAAUUGAGACAAAUCAACAUGGGAGCGGCUGACGCGAGUUACCAAGCAGACAAGGAAGCUAUAGAAGUGAAGUGGUGUACAAGAAAAUACAAAGCCGUAGUGGUGGGAUUGGUCGCUAUAAGCAAGGUUGGUGCAAAAGGAACAAGCAAAACCAAGGUAUUGAUACUUUGAGGUAUUGCUCCUGUUUGCAAGAUUAGAGUACAAUUAGAAGCUUAUUCAAUAUCACCGAAUAAUUGGAAAAUACAUCAAAGGAUGUUACAGUCUGGCAUUCUAAUGGAAUCUUGGAAGAAGAAAGUGUAUGUGAGCAGCCUGCACGAUAUGUAUAUCAAAGGAAAGGAAGAUAAAGUUUAUAGAUUGAAGAAAGCGUUAUAUGGUUUGAAGGCAGGCGCCAAGAGCUUGGUAUAAUAAGAUUGAUUCUAUUUUGUGCAGAAUGAUUUUCAAGAUGUCGCUCGAUGAGCACACAUUAUAUAUCAAAUACAUUGUCCUGGAGAUUGUUCUUAUUGAAGGAGAAGGGCGAUCCAAAAUGCAGCGGAUUAAAAUUUCUCCUUAGUGAUCCUUACGACAUGGGCAUGAUCAGUGAUAUGAAUGUUACCUGUUGUGGAAAUUGUAAGCCUUUGAUGAGAUCUAACGGAGGCGAUUAACGAACGUGACGAUGACAACUCAUCUUACUCAGUCCACACGAACAAAUUCCUUCAUUCUCAGUGCUAGCUGCUCACGAAGAAGCUUUGGUGAGAGAGAGAGAGAAGAGAGAGACGAGAGAGAGAGAGAGAGAGAGAGAAACGAAAUUCAACUGCACAAAUGCUUUCUACACAAGGGUUUAUUUAUAGAACCGCUUGUGUGGGCUGCAAAGCUAAAAAAGCGCACUCAAGUUGUAUGUGGUCCAUAUCUGUUAAUAUGCCAAAAUCACCGCUAAAGUGCGUCGGCCCUACCUCUACCCAUAUUAUUGUACUUCUACUUAAGUCACCGUACCUCAUACCGAUGUUCUCAAUUCACUUAAGGGCACCGUACAUUACGGUAUUCCUUCGUUACUUUAUCUCCCAUCAUACCGUCCUUAUUGCUGUGUGACCCUGAGUUUUGGCGCGGCAUUGACAAUUAUAUUAAAAUCGCGUAUUUAACAUGAUAAACGUGAGAGGUAUCUAGGCAACCAUUCACUGCUACCCCAAGACACGAAAAUGUCAUGUGAUCUGAAAAAUCGUUUGUGAUUAAUACGUUAUAUGUAUAAUUACGCCUUUUGCCCCUUAAUGUCUAUAAUUAAAGCACUAAGCAUAGGCCGUGUCAUCCUUGUCCAGUUAAUAUAGGUGACUCAUGUCCUUAGCACGCUUCUGGAGUACCAUCACUGUCUAUUGAUCAUCCAGUUUACGGACAAUGUUUUGAUCAGAAUUAAGGCACUCGACUCUACAUCUAGGUCCUAGUAGUUUCAGUCGGAAGCGUGUAUAGCACCUUAGUCACCAUGAGAAUAGACUUAUGACACUUUGCAUACCAUUCUAUAUUAGUAUUCCUCAUAGCGCGCGUCAAUCCAGUAUAAGUAUUACUCUUAAUAAUUCAUACCUAUGUUUUAAGACCUUGAUAACUUCUUAUCCUGAUCGCAUGGAGAUGUGAUCAUCUAGUCUAUAUACAUAAUAGUCUUAUGCUUUAAUGUUAUCCUACUUUCAUAAUAAAGCUCGACUAUGGAUACUUUAUAGAAUAAUGCUCCUUGAUGUUUAAUGUUGUAUCUCAUGAUUAAGUCAUACACUUUAUACAUUNNNNNNNNNNNNNNNNNNNNNNNNNCGCGUCAAAUUCCAGUAUAAGUAUUACUCUUAAAUAUUCAUACCUAUGUUUAAGACUUGAUAACUCUUAUCCUGGAUCGGCAUGGAGAUGUGAUCAUCUAGUCUAUAUACAUAAUAGUCUUGAUGCUUUAAUGUUAUCCUACUUCAUAAUAAAGCUCGACUAUGGAUACUUUAUAGAAUAAUGCUCCUGUGAUGUUUAAUGUGAUCUCAUGAUUAAGUCACACUUUUGAUACAUUAACAGACUAUCUAUUCUAGGGACUUUAUUAGACAACAUAAUAAAGAAAAGCCUUUUAUUAUUUAAUAAAUAAUUCGAUACAAGUACCAAAGUAUUGGCCUCAUAGGGCUUAGCACCAACACUUAUGUGUGCCGAUACUGUUGAUGAUAUUAAUUUUCACCAGAAAUAAUUCAGAGAUGAUUACAAAAUUAGCGGAGGGCUAUGAUUAGAACCAGUUUGAAAUGACUUGUAUGCGGAUUAAUGUCGUUAUUUCUUGCCAUUGAAGUCGUCGCACAGAAUGAUGGAAUUUUCAUUCCGAAAAAGGAAGUAUCAAGUGAUAUUCUUGAAAAAUUUCAAGAUGAGCAGUCAAACUAGUUUACACACCGUUGAAGAAAACGUUAAAGUUGACAAGGAAAAUGAUGGGAAAGUGGCAAGACUCAAUUAUUAUAAAGUUUGAUCGAAGCCUGAGAAUCUGACUGCGACAAGACAGAUUAGUAUAUGGAGUUGGUUUGCUUAGGAGAUUCGAUGAAGAGCCACGCGUUAGCAUUUACAAGAAGCGAAGAGGAUUCUUAGAUAUAUGCAAGGUACACUGACUGAUGGAAUUUUUAUGCUAGUAUAAUAAGUGGAACUUGUUGGAUACAUAAAUAGUGAUUGGGCGUGGAGAUAUUGAAAACAGAAAAGCGUGUCAGGAUAACGCAUUUCAUUUGGCAGCAAGUGGAAUUUCAUGGUCUUCAAAAACAACCAGUUGUUGCGCUUUCUACCGCUAAGCAGAUAUAUAUUGCAGCAACCGGGUUGUGCUACUCAAACAUAUGGAUCAGAAGAAUAUUAGAAGUGAUAACAUCAGAAGCAGAAUAAUCUACAAAGAAUAUAUCUGUGACAACAAGUAGCUAUUGGCGCUGAGUAGAAUCCGGUGUUUUCAUGACGUGUCAAACAUAUGAUAUUCGGUUCACCAAGAUAGAGAUUUGAUAGCUGAGAAGAAGUGGUGAAUGCGAGUAUUGUCCACUGAGAACAAAUUGCAAUAUUUUUAACAAACCAUUGAAGAUUGAGCAUUUUACAAGUUGAAGAAGAUGCUAUGGAGUGAUAAAUUUGAGAACUUGAUUUAAGGGAGGCAAUGUUGAAAUUAAAUCAAGUAGUGUGAGAUGUCUGAGAAAAUAGGCAAUUAAUAUAAAUAUUAAUAUAGAAGAUGUAGAAGGCAAUGUGUCUAAGUUUAAAUUAAGCUUGUGACUUAUAAGUUUAGAAGGAAACUAGUGGAUAAUAUCACUAUGCCUACUUUGCACCGCCUAAUUAUGCUGCCUUGCUAAGUUUCUUAGCCACUAAGAAUAUGGUACUUCAAGGCCUAUAUAAAGGCAUGAAAGCACAUGCUUUAUGUAUUAUCAAUUUCAGAAACAAAAUAGAAAAUGAAUAAGUUACACUUCCUCUUGUUCUUCUUCUUUUGUACAUGGGUGUUUGAGUUUUAUAUAUUUUCAACCUGUGAUAUCAAGACUUGUUCAAAUUGAUUAUUACUUUUUUCAUUUAAAAUGGCUUACUACAGUCCGCUUCUACUGAUACUUCUACUUGUGCCCAUAUUUCAAUUUUGUUCCGAUAUUUUUCUCACCACCAUGCAAUGGAAUUCAUUAUAUGCUCAAUAUCUUCUUCUUCCCUAAAACAGAAUACACAAGCUUUUUUUCAAAGAAUUAUGGAGAUACCUCUUCGGGCCAACUGACAUCGUAGUUGAAAGUCGAAAUGCAAAAGUCUCACCCAAAAAUCUUACUUUUGAAAGAACUAUUGUUUUCCCUUUUUUAACAACUGCGUAUUUAAUUAAUAUAAUAUCCUCCAAAAUUUCUCAAUUUUCAAACUCCAAUUAAUAGGUUCAAAGAUUGUUUUCCUAGUACUCAUGUUGUAACUGAUUUGACAUUAAAAAUUUUGGUUUGCACACCUUUGUUCCUAAAUAUAAAAAUGUUUUAGAAAACUUGAAGCCACGUUCUAUAAAAAUGUGUCUUUUGUUUGGAUUACUUCCAAUCCAAAAAGAUAUACAUGUUUUGAUCAAAAAACAUGAAAAAGUUUUUCACUAUGGAUGUUAAUUCUUUGAAGAUAAACCUUUUUUUGAUGACCACUAUCUUCAAGGAGGAGGAGGAGGAGGGGGGUUGUAUAAAUGAAGACUCGUUUCUAAUGAGGACUAUGAGUUUAAAUAAUCUAUCUUUGUUUAGUAUCACAAAAUUAUAUGAGAUUUCUACAAUCAUUGCACCAACAUUUAAAAUGGGCAUGAUUUUUUAUAUGAUCCUACUCCAGUUAUGGGUAAGAACUUUGUGAAUCUGAGCCUUACAUUUCUCUUGUAUAAAACAAUGAGAAUCUUGAAAGCGAUUGAUAAUGCUUGUCUAAUUGGAAAUGUCACAAAAUAAUGGAGUCACUUCAAGAAAAUAAAAUUUGAAUUAGGAAAUUAAGACUUGGAAGGGAGUUUUGUUGAAAAAAACACCACAUAGUAAGGGAGAGUUCCAUAUCUCAACACUGAUAAAGGAUAUGGUUGUCAAACGGGAUCUCGAUUAAAGUCGUUAGGGUAUAGAAAAAGCAUAAAUUGUAGGUUUCGUUAACCCGAAUCGUAAGAUCCUUAAAAUAGACAAAAUUAGAGAACAUAACAUAGGAAAAAAAUUACUUAUAACAUAAAAUUCCCAUUAAUUUAAUCAUCAAUAGAAAUAUUUUAUCGAAAAAACAUAACACAGGAUUUGAUUUUGAAUUUAUAGAAAAGAUAGUGUGAAGGAAGAAAUUUGGUCAUUGUAUGAUUAACUUGAUAUGAAUUCUCAGAAUGUCAAUGGCUUUUGUUUGCGCGACAAUCCUUAUUUUUCAAUUCUCAAACUCUCAUUUAAAACAUUGCAAGUCCCAAACCCUAAAAAUAUGUGUGCAACAACAGUCAGGGUUAGCUAUAGGCAAAUUGUUUUUUGGCAGAAUCCAAUUGUUUAAUGAUGAUUGGAAACAAAUUUGAAGCGAAUAAAAAAAUGGAUCGUUGGAUCUCAGUCCAACGAUUUAAAGAUCUUUCUCUAGGAAUUCAAUCGUUCACCAGCAAAUUCAUGAUCUUUUAUGCCACUUAAACAGGUAAGCCAGUUUUUUGAAGCGUAGAUCGUGAGAUUUCGGGAGUGGAGCGAAGUUUCCCGACAAUCAUCGGCCAGGAAUCUGAACCGCGGGAAUGAUUCAACCUCCUAAGAAAAGGAAAGUAAGUCUAUCUAUGUUCUCUUUUUAUGGGAAGUCAUAUUUGUAUCUUUAUAUAGUGAUCAUGUUCUAUUAGGAAAACCUAUUAGAUCUUGCACUAAACACCCUGUCCGCAGACAAUCGUAUCAUUGGCCUAUGUGGGUUCAGAACAAACUUGAUGAAAACGGCAAUAAAGCCCAGUUAUUGGCUCAAGGAUAUAACCAAGAUGAGGGAUAGACUAUGAGGAGACUUAUGCUCCGGAUCGCCUCCUUGAGGCUAUACGCUUUUGCUUGCUUAUGCAUGUGCUCAAGGAAUUUUCAAAGAUUAUCAAAUGGACGUAAAAAGUGUAUUUCUUAACGGUAUUCAUAAAUGAAGAAGUAUAUGUCUCACAAACCUCCGGGUUUUAGAAUGAUGAAUUCCGGAUCGUUUUCAAAUUAAAGCAUGCUUUUAUAUGGUUUUAAAUAGGCCCCUCGGGCUUGGCUAUUAAAGACUUAGGUAAAUUUUUAGUUGAUCAUGGAUAUUCAAGAGGUAAAGUGGGGUACCACUCUUUUCAUUAAAUGUCAAGGAAAGCAAUAAUUUUUUUAGUUCAAGUAUAUGUAGAUGAUAUUAUAUUGGUUCAACAACAUGCACUUGGUCAAUGAAUGUUCCUAAGGUUAUGCAGGGUGAGUUUGAGAUGAGUUAAUGGGAGCUAAACUACUUCCUCGGUCUUCAAAUUAGCAAUCGGACGAAGGCACAAUCUGUGCAAACAAAAUACUGUAGAGAGUUGGCUAAAGCGCUUUGGAAUGGAAGACUCAAAGUCCGUCAACACCCUUAUGCUCAUCAACGGGGAACUUAGACAAGCUGAAACAUUGGAUAAGAGCUGUAGAUGUCAAGAAGUAUAGAGGUAUGAUUGGAUCUCUUUAUAUUCUUUACUGCAUCUAGACCUGCACAUAUUUAGUGUGUGAUGUGGUCGGUUAUCAAUCAGAUCCUAAAGAAUCUCACUUAAAAGUUGUAAAACGUUAUACUUAGAUACCUUCACAGGACAUCCAAGUAUGGGUUGUGGUAUUCUAAGGGAAAGUUAUUUAUAGUUAGUUAGUACUUAGAUUCUGACUUUGCCGGUUUGCAAAUCGGAUAGGAAAUAGUACUAGCUGGACAUAUCAUUUAUUUUCAAACUCCUUAAGUGAGUUGGGCAAAGCAAAAAGCAAGUUUAUUGUUUGUCAACCGCUGAGGCUGAAUACGUUGCUCCGGUAGGUGUGCCCCAGAUAUUGUGGAUGAAACAACAUUUACUUGAUUUUAUAUACAACUCAAACGUAUUCCCAUCAAAUGUGACAACACGAGCGCCAUAAACCUCUACUAAAAACCAGUUUUACAUUCUACACUAAACACAUGAGAUUAGGACAUCAUUUUCUCCCUCAUGUUUGAAAAAGAAGAUGUUGUGUUUGAAACUGUUGAUACUAAAAUCAACUUGCGAUAUGUUUACUAAAACCACUUCGUUAUUGAAUCGUUUUUUAAACAUUUGUCCGCGAGUUAGAAUUCUCGAUAUCUCGAGUUUUUGAUGUCAUAAGCAUGCCAUUUUUGUUAUUUAUAUGUAUUAUCUCACUAUCUAUUUUGAGAUCUCCUUUAAGCUUUAAAAAUAUGGCAUCUUACCGUUCAUCAAUGAGGUAACUUCGUUCCUUUUAUCUUCAUUGUAAACUUAACCUAAGUGGGUACUUAAGUGUUCCUUAUUCUAUUGAGGAUAUGGUUAUAUGCUAUGAUAAGUUGUGAUUAUCUUAUAUGUGGCUCAUUUCUAAAAUUUGUUGAUUUGCGUAAUAAGUCUUUCAAUUCUAUAUAUGUUUAAGUGACUGCAUUGAUAAUUCUUCGUCUUGUAUAUUCAUGCGCUUUCAUAAAACUAUCAUAUGUUGCAUUUCAUGUAUUCACAUUAUCUAUUUACACUACUUAUAUCAUUGUCUCUCAUCAUUUAUAGUAACUUUACAUCAUGUUUAAAAUGUGCAUAUGCAUUUUCAUUUUCAUUGCCAAAAUUAAAACAUCCAAAGGGAAAUCAAUGUGUCUCAUGUCUGUUUACAUCUUUUUUUUUUAAUUUUUACAAAUGGAUCGAUACAUACCUUAUUUGGAACGAUCAUAAAUGUCUGAAUAAGCCAAAAACAUACUCAUUAAAUUGACUUGGAUCAACCCAUAUUACCAUGUGCGAUAAAUGCAAUAAUUUUGUAAUUUUAGAAGAUUUUUAGUUCAGUAUGUAUCGAUUACACCCGUGUUUGUGGAUCGAUACAUACCUUGUUUUAAAACACUAAAUUUGGGCUUCAUAUGUCACCCAUCUGCGAUGUGUCGAAUCCAUUCCCGAAAUGUUUUUCUGUAAACUGACUUGGGUCGAACCCAUUCGCCCAUUUACACUUCUUAAAACUAUCUUUCUUCCAUUUAUCUCUUUUUUUUCACAAAAAACGGCCAAACCCUAAUUUCUUUUCUAAUUCCUCAUUCAUUACCCAAAAUUCAUGAAAUUCUCUUCAUAUCAGUCAUCAUCAUUCAUCUUCAUCCAUAUCAUGCUUUCCUAACGAUAAAAUCAAACAAGGGUAGAAAAUAACCGAGUCGGGUUCUACUUUCUGGCGGUUUCCUCCAAUGAUGUCUAGUGCUCUAUCAAUUCUUACAUCCUUCAAGCUCAAUUAUGGUUUAUGAAGGGUCUUCAAGACUUCGGAUUGUUAUGAAACCGCAUUUUUGAAAUGCGGAAGCUCGUACAUGUCACAUAACUGAGAUUUGUGAUUUAGUAGCAUGCUCCAAAGAUUAGGCUCCUUUUUAAUUGUAAGGUAUGAUAUCAUGAGGAUUUUAUUAGAUGCCUUUAUUGUUAGAAAGUUGCCAAGGCUAUACAUUUAAAGUUCGUCUUGGCACUAAUCGAUACAAGGUUUGAUUAUGGGGGAUUGGAUGACAAUUUUUGGUAUCGAUUUAAGGUCACCUGCGUUGCCAGCCUUUUCAUAAGAAAAACGUGCUCCGUCUUUUCUACUAGGCUUUACCUACAGUCUAUCUUGAAACUGAGAGCCUGUUGGCCAACUGAGCAGAUACUACCGGUAUGAUUAAAAGUGUACGAGGAUUACUUCACUGGAUUAUAUCCAUAUUCUGCAUCCACGUUCUGCUGGUCACUCUCGAAUUGACUUGGCUGCAGGCGCAUCUCAUCAUGUGCUUGAAAAAUGGCAUCUUACUUAACUGGACCAAAUUACGUGUGAGGCGAAUUGACCUCAUGAAAGAGUGUGGUAAAGAAUACGAACACUGAACUAUACGUCUCUAAUUAUGAAAAUAUUCAAGAUUUCAACGUUGCCAGUUGCCUAUUGUCCUAUGACUUAAAUCACCCGACAUCAAGAAUUGCCAAAGCAACAUGUCUCAUAUGGCUACCAUGGGACAAAAGACCCAAAGGCGUUUUUCUAUUUCAAAUCCAAGUCGGUCUCACACAAAGGUUUAUAAUUUUCGACGACCCGACUAAUCAGAUUUUGAUCGAUUGAAGAUGAUGCUUCUAUGGGAUGAACAUGGUUUGAAGCUGAAGAUGCUGCAACUGCUAACAAUCAAGGAUGGGGAGAAUAGGUGCCCAAAUCGUUGGUUCUCCCACAAAUUAUGUUCCACCUCCAUGUGAACCAUUCUUUUGUUCCUCCUACCGCUUCUAGGCUGGUACUUUUGCAGGUACUUCUUCUGGUCCUAGCUACUUGACAGAAAUGUUCAACAAUCUGGAAGUUCAAAAUCAGAACGCCAUGAUGAAUCUAGGUGGUGGCAUAGCCAAGAAAAGCAGGGCAACGACCAACAAAGCGAUUGCACGAUAAGUAUGUCAAGAUGCACAGGAGCAUCGUAGUUGGCACGAGAAUCUCAUGAAUUGGGAAUUAUGUUUCUAUAAUGAGAUGGACAGGGUUCAUGGAUGAUUGUCGGGAACAAUCAGUAUCAUGGAACGUUUUCGUUAGAGAAUGUACAACAAACGUUCAAGCAAACAUGGCUUUAUGGGUGGACUUAGUUCAACUCCGCCCCCGGAAGUGGAAGUCGUCAAUCGAGCCCGGACAAGAUUGAACAUUUGCCAUUCAAUGAAAAUCAAAAUCUUCAUGACAUGCCAUAUCAUGCAUAGCAUACCAUGUUUUUAGUUUUCAUCUACUUCUGUAUUGACUUUGUUAUUUUGGUUGUUAUGAUGUAGUUUAUUCCCGCACCUCUUAGCAACUUUGUUUAAUUCGUUCUUAUGUUAAACAAAUUUAUAUAUUUCCUAUUUAGUCACUCUUUGUGAGUUGCAUGUGCUUUUGCCUUCAAUUGGUUGUUCUUGUGAUUGUCUUUUUAUUUCCAUUUAUGUUGUGUUUAUUUGCCUUCAAUCGUUACUCAUUGAUUAUUGUGAUAAUUGGAUAUGAUAUACUAACGAACAUGCGUUGUUCUUUUUGAUUGUUGACAAAGUGGGGAGAAAUAUUGUGUGCUCAAAGAUAUUAUUUAUUGCAUAAACUCGAGGGGAGUUACUGUGGUUCAUCUACCUUCCAUCAUAAGACUUGCAAUUAAUUUUGCCAUCAUCAAAAAUGGGGAGUUUAUGAGUGAUAUUCCAUAUUAUGGUUUUUGAGUGAUGUCAAAGUUUGUGAAGAAAUGUAGUUGGAAAAUUAUUUCAAAAAGAUUCUCUAGCAUGGCAUUAUCAUUAAAUAACAUUGAGGAAGAUUUUAUGCAUCAUUAAAAUAUUCAUUUUUGCAUAUUUGAGUUUUGAUCGACGCAAGAGUUGGAUGUAUCGAUACAUGUCUUACUUGUGUUUUCUGAAUGCAAAUUUUGGUCAGCAUGUAUCAACUCACUUAUGUGAUGUACAAACAUAUGUAAUGUUUUUUCUCAAAAAUUCAAUUUUCCUUCAGUAUGGAUUCGACCCCAUCGAUGGUUGUAUCGAUACAUGGCCUUGUCAACCGUGUUUCUGUUUUGUGUUUUUUACCAACAUUAUCGAACCCAUUACUCAUGUAUCGACUCAUGCUGUAUUAAAAUUUGUGAAAUUUUUUUUCAUCCAGUAUUUAGGCGACCCAUCAGCUUGGUUGUAUCGAUACCAUGGCCUGUCAACCUGUUUCUGUUUGGUUUUCUCCAAAACAUUAUCGACCCAUUUACUCAUGUAUUCGAGUCAUGCUAUAUUAAAAAUUGUGAAAAAUUGUUAUUUCAUCCCAGUAUGGAUCGGACCCAUACGCUUAUGUUAUCGAUACCAUCAUGAGUACAUCAUUCUGGAAAAUGUUUUUGUUACUGCAUGUAUCGAUCCAUGUGGGUCAUGUAUCGACCUCUGCAACUUUUGCACACUCUGUAUCGACUCAUGCAUCACAUGUAUCGACUCAUCCAACUAAAAUUCUAUUAUUUAUGUUUUCACGUUGUUGGCAUUUCAUUAAACGAUUAUCCAGCGUGUUUAAUUGUCAUCGGGCCAUUACUGUUAUCCACGGUUUAUCACACGUCCAUUUUUUCUAGUAGUCGGUUCAUGAAUAGACGGGAAGUCGAUUCGGGACUGUGCUUUUUCGCUGAGCCUUUAAACAAUUCAAUUAAAGUUUUAAAAAUUCCAUGAUUUUUCUGUGGUGAUCUCUCACCCCCCUCUCAAAUCACCUGCCACACCGUCUAAACAAAGCAGUUGGUGCAAAUGGGUGUUUACUGUGAAGUAUAAUUAUAGAUGGUGUCAAUUGAAGGUAUAAGGCUCGCUUGGUGCCUAAAGACUUUACUCGGGACCCAUUGUGCUGACUCCUCAGAGACAUUUCUCUUAUGUGUAAAAAUUUAACCUAUCAGAAUUAUUUUAUCUCUGCUGUAAAAUGGAUUGGUCCCUACAUCAGUUAGAUAUUAAGAAUGUCUUUCUUAAUGGCGAUCUAGAACAACAGUACUAUUGCGGACAUUCCUACUGGCUUUGAAAACAAAUUUGGAUAAAAUGUAUGCAAGCUAAAUAAGUCUUUGUAUGCUGAAAUCUGUGUUAGUCAGAAUUCAGAUGUUAUGACAAUCUGAUCUAAUUUGUAACUAAUACAGCAAAGAUAGUUAUUAACCACUGUACUAAUAUGCACAAGUUCACAGAUGUCACUGCAUUCUCAUUCUAUGUCACUCUAGAAAUGUAUGAACCCCUGGUUCUGUGCUUCAGGAAGAAAGACUCAAACAGAAAUCAAACCUAGCACUCACUUCUGUUGUUCUCCAUAGUUAUCAGCAUGAUGUCUGUUCUGUUGUUUGUGGACAUCAUUAUUACAUUGUUCCAGUGUGUAUAUCUUUAUUACUUGUAUCCUGGAAUUUAAAGGUUGAACACGUCAAUCUAAUUUCCAACUUAUUACAUUGCUAACAAUAGCUAUUUGGUUAGGUUCAUUAAUUGUAGGUUAGUAGUUGGUUUUCCUGGUUUUUCUCUAGCUAUUGAAUCCCUGAAGAAGUAGCCUGAGAAAUACUUGAGCCAGAAAAACCAAUCAUCCUACACUUUAGCACCUGCUGUUUGGAAGAAUGUCACACACUUCAGUUCGACAUCCAGAACAUAGUCUGGUAUGUAUGUUCUGGAAACUUGCUUUGCUAAGUUUUGCAUACUGUAAAAGACCAACUAGCCUCUUACUUCAGUAUCAUCCUUCAGUAUUCAACUGUCAAAAACAUGUCAGUUUGACAGUUUCACUUAUGAUCUUCGCCAGGGUCUGCUUAUCUUUUGAAUCCAGACUUCACUACAUUACUAAACUGAAUUCAUUCAGCGUUUGUUACAUCAGUAUGUGCUGUUGUUGAUGAAUGUCAAAACAUUCUGAUGACAUUUCCACAGAAGGCUAUGUAUCAGCGUCUGCUAUUAUCUUGAAGAACAGACUGGAAUACAUGCUUAGUUAUGCAGACAUGAUUAUUAUCAUCAGAAGGAAAACAAACACAGGAAAUUGUUAACCCAGUUCAGAUCCAACAUGACCUACAUCUGGGGCUACCGAGCGGAAGAAGAUCCACUCAUUAGUAGUAUCAAUUCAGAGAUUAAACUCACCCGUUUACAACUCAUCCACUUAUCCCUACCCAAUGCAAAUCUAUACGCUAGGACUCCUUGAGAUAGAAACCUCAGUUUCCAAUUCCAUAUCACUACAAAUACAAUUAAUGUUACCACACCUUGAACUUGCUUUCACAGCUUCAUUCAAAGAACAAAAUCACUCUUGGCCUUACAGGCUUCGAGUUACAAUCACUUCUCAGGGUCUUUACCACCUUGAGAAACACAUGUGGUAACCUUAUCUCUCUCUUAUUAAACAGACUAUCUAUUCUAGGGACUUUAUUAGACAAACAUAAUAAAGAAAAAGCCUUUUAUUAUUAAUAAAUAAUUCGAUACAAGUACCAAAAGUAUUGGCCUCUAGGGCUUACACCAACACUUAUUGUGUGCCGAUAUGUUGAUGAUUUAAUUUUCACUAGAAAUAAUUCAGAGAUGAUUACAAAAUUCAGGGAGGCUAUGAUUAGACAGUUUGAAAUGACUGAUAUGGGAUUAAUGUCUUAUUUCCUUGGCAUUGAAGUCGUCCAACAGAAUGAUGGAAUUUUCAUUUCCGAAAAGAAGUAUGCAAGUGAUAUUCUGAAAAAUUUCAAGAUGGAGCAGUCAAAACUAGUUUACACACCCGUUGAAGAAACGUUAAAGUUGACAAGAGAAAAUGAUGGGAAAGUGGCAGACUCAAAUUAUUAUAAAAGUUUGAUCGGAAGCCUGAGAUAUCUGACUGCGACAAAAAAAAAAAUAAAAAAAAUAAAAAAAAAAAAAAAAAAAAAAAAAAAAAAAAAAAAAAAAAAAAAAAAAAAAAAAAAAAAAAAAAAAAAAAAAAAAAAAAAAAAAAAAAAAAAAAAAAAAAAAAAAAAAAAAAAAAAAAAAAAAAAAAAAAAAAAAAAAAAAAAAAAAAAAAAAAAAUAAAAAAAAAAAAAAAAAAAAAUGAAAAAA
rnacentral:lncRNA from 1 species